AUCCUUCGAUUUUACGGAGUGUGCCCUUACCCUACUGCUCGUAUCCAUCUACACGCCUCUGCUUAGAUUAGGAACUGUGUUUUCCCUUUCCCCCUUUCUGGUAAACUCAUCUCCUCUCCUAUGGCUUUGGUAGCUCAACUGAUCCUUUGUUCCUACUUUUCUUCUUCGUAUUCGCUCCAUUUACCCAAUCUAUCCAGGUAUAAUACCUUUGAACAUCAAGAACACCCAUUAGAUUUGUCCUCGGUUUUCAUUUCUCCGAUCAAGGCGUUUCGUCAGCCUCCGCCUCUACUCCUCUGUCUUGAAUCCGGCAUCAAUACCUUACAUCUGGUUUCCCUCUAUCUCAAACUCUUCUUUCUCAUACUUUCGUUGAUUUAGGGUUCCUCAUUUCACAAGUUUUGAGAAACAACCAUCGCAAUUCUUCAAAACACACAGAAUUCGCAGAAACCCUAAAUUAGCCCCUUCAUCAAUAUCCCAUCUUCUUCCUAAACCCUAAAUAACCAGGUUUUCAAUUCAUCAGGCUUCUCUGCAUACGAAAAGUGAGACAGAAAGAGGAUUGAAGCUGAUAUAAUUGGAGCUUGUUAUUUUGUCAAGUUUAUACGAAAUUGAAGGUUUACUCUUCAAAAUCUGGAUCUCAGUAGGGAGCAAUGUCGUCGUCCUCAACCUUGUAUAUGUGUUUGUGUAUAGGGUUUGUGGUUUACCGCGUCCGUGUGAGAAAAGGUGGUCGCAAGAGGCAUGUACCCAAGGGUGUUGAGGCUGAGGACUUCUUGGUUUUUUUGUAAGAAUUUGGGGGUUGUUGAGGCUGAGGACAACUAGCAGCAAAUGAUAAAUAAAAUUAUAGUGGCUAUAUACUCAUCAUCCUCAAAUGGGAAAAAUAAUUCCACAGGAUUUGGAAAUGAAUACUUGAAAAUGAAGGAUGAAAAGUCAAAAGAGGAGAAGUCUUUUCGUCAACAAUACAAAAGUGUAUUAGGUACCAAAACCACUGAAGAGACCGGAAAACUUGGCUUCAUGGGAGCCUAGCCAUGGUAAGUUCAAAUUUCGUCAACCAUGGAAACAAUACCUUAAGGUUGGAGCCUUAACUCGAAUGUGUGCCUACAGAGCUGAUGCUCUUAGCAACUACCUUAACUCCGACGUCCUACAACAGAUUCUGGUGGAGUCUUUUGGUUAGAGUAGAUUGGUCGGAGGUUGUUGGGUGUACUCAAAGUGCUCCUGGAGAUGGAAUUGGUAUGGAAUUAUACCUUUUCUAAAAGUGCCAAAUUAAUAUUUAUCCUUAAACUAUUCUUCUUUGUUAUUCAAUUUGAUCAUGGAAGGUGAGAGGGAAAAAGUAGAAUAUAUUUGUGAGUUGUUAUUCAUUAUGUGGAUAAUUACUGAAGGCUUAGUCACCUGACAGAUACCUUGUUUGAUACGUAGUAUUUGCUCACUUCAGAAACCUUGGAUUUUUUUUCCAACUCCCUAAACUCCUCGUAAACAGGUAUCCAAUCCUGUAUUUAGGUAUCUGAAAGGCAAUCCAAUUCAUGUUCCUCUUAAACAAUAGUAGUAUUUUUUAGCUAAAGGAUUUUGGUUAGUUAGUCGGUUUUUCAUUGUUCCUGGGAAUAGUCCUAUGUCUUAAAAAGCUAAGAAGCAGACCACAAUGGCCCUUUAUUGUGUUGAUACUGAGUAUUUAGUGAUGAGAUGGUGAUAAACUAAGUCAAGUGACAAUGAAGCUUGCACGGGUUACUUGGUUGUUCGAUGAGUUGAAAGUGGCAAAAAAAGUUUCAAUUCAUCUGAAAUCCUUUCGUAUGUCUGUCGGGUUACCAGGUUGUUAGAUGAGUUGACAGUGGCCAAAAAAGUUUCAAUUCAUCUGAAAUUUGAUAGUUAAGCUUAAGCCUCCUUCUGUAUUGCUAAAAUUCCAGUAUCUCCUUCCGUACGUCUCUUAUCAACGAGGCUAGCAAACAGGCGACCUACACCUUAUGCUUCCUGACAAGUCGUAUUAUCUAGAUGAAGCUAACUGAGCCUGAUCUCAUAUUCAAUUACAUUUAACUUAGCUUUUUGUUGGUUAAUUUAGCAAAGGUUGUUGAGAAAAGGUCGGCAUGGGGUUCUUUUUGAAAUAUGAAGUGCCCUGACGACGGUGUAAAAGUUGUAUUUACUAUUGAUGGGAGUUAGAGAAUCCUCUGGACUUCCCUGAGUAUUGGCAAUUGAAAGUUGUCUUUCUUUUUAUGCACGGUCUUACAACCCAAAGUUGCUAGAAACCAAAAAAAGGUUGUUUUACCUUAGACGUGAUUGAGGUCAGGGUUGUUUUACAUCUUUGUACAUGAAAAACUGACUAAACUUCAUAUUCUUUGAACUAGACUUUAGAAUGAAUAAUAUAUUUCUAACCUACUAACUCUGUAUGCUAAUGUACUGAAACCCUCCUAAGAGAGGUCGAUCACUUACCUACUAACAAACCACAAGUAAUUGAAAGUUAAACAAUUUCUGAAACCUCUAAAUCAAGAGACUCAUACCUCGAUAACCUCCCUGUCAUAAGAUUUUGUCCAUUUUCCAGCAAUCAGAGCUUGACUCGUAGCAAUCUGAACUUUUAAGUCUUGUAACAACAUUUUCAGCUUUAGUGCUCAUCUGAAGAAAAAUUUAGUCAUCAUAUUAGCUUUAGGAAUACAAUGGCAGAAGAAUUAGAUGGAUAAUAUCAAUAUCCCCAGCAUUCACAUACUUUAUCAACAUUUAUAAACAUGAAAAGCAAUGAGAAUAAAGAAAAUGAUCCAAUUAUCCAAAGUAAUCAUCAAAACCAAAUUCUCCUUAGGAAUUUUUUCAACAAGUACUUGAAUUAGUAGGUUCGAAAUACACAGACCCUACAGUUUCAGUAAACUGACUUACUCACACUCUUUAAUUUUGUUGCGAGUACUUGAAUUGUGCACUGAUACCAUAAUUGAGUAUAAAUGGCAUUGUACUGGUUGAUUGGUUUAGAACUCUUUUAAACUUCGUCUAAUUUUGACGUGUAGUUGGUGGAUAAGGUAUGGUAAGCGGGUGUGUGAUUUCUCUUAUCACUAAUAGUGCAUACUUAAUUUGCAUACCUAAUUAUGUCAUUGCUAAUGGUUCAUUUUCUGGCCAUUUCCUUCUUGUAUCUCCAAAUUUAUUCUUCAUAUUUGAUAAAAUCAUACGAAGGUAAUAUUAUAUAGACAUCUUUAGUUAACCCUGUCAGGCUGUCACCAUUACUACUAUACACACCACUUGUGCUGUAAAAAAAUAAAGUAAACUAUACACACUGCUGGCUUCAAAAUAGAGCUUGAUGUUGUGAAACAGAUCAAGGUCAUGGCCUUCACUUGUAGCUUUAGAAUGAGAAAGUCUUAGUAACCUUGAAUUAGGCACCUGUUGGUGUUUAGUUUUUCUGCAGCUUUGGAUGUCUGUUCCUUCUGUUCUGGCCUUUGGUCUGCUUCUUUAUGUUUUGGCAUGUGGUCUGGCUUGUUGGUUUAGCUGCUGCUACUUUCUGGAGGUUGAAUACAGGUUGCAUCCGUGGGCUUCUCUGCUGAAGUGCUGAUACUUGCUGUUGUGCAGGCUGUUUGCAGACUUCUUCUGUACAGUUUGUUUCUUUGUGUUUUCUGUUGCUGUGUAUUCUCUGCUGGAUGGUUUAUGCAGUUGCUGCUUGUGUUGCUGCUUUGUGUGGCCUCUGCUGUAAUCUGUUGCCCUGUCUGAUGCUCGUUUGUUUUAAAGUUGGUUGUCUUCUUCUUUUUUUGUUUGUGUAUGUCAGUUAGGGAUGGAGUAAGUUAGGAAUGCGGGUUGUUCUCCCUUAGCCGAGGUCUUUGUUUCUAUGUUUUGGAUAUUACUUGUAUUUCGUCAUUUUGGUACUAAAUUUUCUCUAUUUUAUCCAUAAAAAUACAGCUUGAGUUCAUUGUUUCCAUUUCUAAUUAUGUUCUUUUAGCAUUUUGAAAGAUAUUAUAUAUUUUCUUUUAUAACCUCAUUGUGUUAAUGCUAUUUUUACUUUUGUAAUUCCAGAAAGAAAUCAAAAUAUGAGGAAAUGAACUUCAUCUUCCUUUUCCACAACAUCAAGGAGAUCUUUCUCUGUAAACUAAUCAGGAACUAUCAUGAUGUAUCCCCUCUCUUUAUUAUCUUUUUUGCUUCAUUUGCAUUUAAUUUAUAUAUGAACUUAUUCCUGUUUUUUCUUUCAUUGAUUUGCAUGUUUGGAUGUUCGAUGUUGCAUGUUUCUUUCUUUUUUCUUGAAUUAAUCAGUGUUGGAGUAUGGCUCGCCACCAUGAUCUAAUAUGUUUGAAAUCAAGGGAGGUUUGACUAUUAUAAUAAGCAUCAGGGGUAGUAGCAAGCUUUACAAAGUUUUGCGUCAGAAUGAGACAGAAUAUUUGGGUCUGUUAUCCUGGAACUGGUUUCCGGGUUUGUCUUUUAUAUUAUUCUUUACUAACAUUGUAGAUUCAUAUGCAUUUCUAUAGCUUUAUUUAUCUCAUAUUUCCCCGAUUUUUUUUUACCAAGCACUGUUUAUUUUAUCUCGACGCAUGUUAUUGUCAAUUAGGUCUUAUGGUUUGUGACCAGCCAUGAGUGACGAGAUUCUCACAGUUGCUAAAAGUUUGUGAUGCUUAAAUUAUGUUGUACACAUUUUGUUUUGUACUGAGAAUUGAGAAUUAUAUGGUGAUUAUUUCAAUUUCAGUAACUUCUCUUGAGUUAUGUUUAUUAUGCAAUUGUUCAACUUGGCUUGCAGGUUGUAGCAGCUAUGACAAAAGUCCGAGAAUUAGGAGAAUAUGGCAAAUCCAGUGGCGAGGGUUUCUGCUCAAGUUUGGUGCAUUGAGAAAUGGGGUUCUUUAACAGAAUCUAGAAAAAUACAGGGGUUCAAGAUGAAGAUUUAGUUUCUUUUGUGAAAAAAUGGCAGAAGGCAGGGGCUUCUCUAUUUGGCGAUUGUUGUAGAACUACACCAAAGACGAUAAAUGACAUUUACACGACUCUCUCAGAGCAUUAAGUGCCUCCGGGUUAACAAGUCAUUCACACUUUUGUCUUGUAAAUGACUAAUUAGGAAAUAUGAUCUAUGCUUGUGUAUUGUUGUUGUCUUAAUUAAUUAUACAAAUUUGUUUACUGAA